GUGAAUGGCGUGGCUAGAAUUGAAGGGGGCUAAUGAAAAAUAGCUGGUUAAAAGAAGAUUGCGAGCAUUUAUAGCCUCUGCCUCCGCCUUAUUAAUAGUAUGAAAAUGGUCAAUUAAGUUCCUUGAAUAGCAAGGAGGAACAGGCCAAGUUUGGCCGAAACCAAGCUGGCGAGCAAAAAAUUGGGGAGCAUAAAUUUCUACCCCUGCCUUGGCAUUGGUCCCAGUUAAAAUAUCAUGAAAUAGCUCCCUCCUGGUUAAAAACUGGAUCCAAAUAAGCAGGGAGGUGCUCGCGCUGUCUAUAGUGGAGGGGGGAUGUACAUAGUUUGGUGUCAAAAAAGGAGGAAAAGGAAAAAAGGAAGAGAUUGAAUCCAAAGAAUAAAAGAAUGAAAAAAU
rnacentral:lncRNA from 1 species